rnacentral:rRNA from 1 species
UACGUAGGGUGCGAGCGUUGUCCGGAAUUAUUGGGCGUAAAGAGCUUGUAGGCGGUUUGUCGCGUCUGCUGUGAAAUCUCAAGGCUCAACCUUGAGCUUGCAGUGGGUACGGGCAGACUAGAGUGUGGUAGGGGAGACUGGAAUUCCCGGUGUAGCGGUGAAAUGCGCAGAGAUCGGGAGGAACACCAAUGGCGAAAGCAGGUAACUGGACUAUUACUGACACUCAGCUGCGAAAGCUAGGGGAGCAAACAGG